UUUUAAUUUUGUAUUUAAGGAAAAUCAAGUUUCCAUGCUGCAAGGAAGAGUUGCUAGUGGCUAAAAAGUGAUAAUUUCAAUUGGCUUUGCUCCAUCAGCCACAAGGAAAACACCUGGCAAGCUGCUGCAUCCCAGCCAAGCCUUGUUACCCUUUUGGCCUUCACAGUAACUAUCAGCAGGCACCGAGUCAGUGCUGCUAAUAAACUGGCAUUAAAACUUCCACCUGCUAAUAACAUCUUAUUGCUUUGCAGGAUUAAAUAAAAGGAAAUGAGCUGUUUAAUUACAGUCAGAAAAAUUUUGUAGUGCUGCACUGCCUUGGUUGGUGACAGUAAUGCUGAAAUGUGUUUUAAGACAUGGGUACAUGAAGUGAUGGCUUCAGAGGGCAAAAGAAUAAAAAGACAAGAAAAAAAACUUGGGCUAAUGUUCAACAACAAUGCUGAUGUUGCUACCAAGAUGCGGUCCCCUCCUGUCAGACAUCAUGAGCUGCACUCACCAAGCUGAGCCCUACAC